rnacentral:lncRNA from 1 species
GUCUUGCUAAGUUGCCCAGCUUGGCCUCAAACUCUGCAUCCUCUUAGCCUCUCCAGUGCUUGGAUUGCAAGCAUGCACCGUCUUGCCCAGUUCUUUUUUCUCUUCUUUUUAAAAAAAAUCUCUGUAAAAAGUAAGGCUCAUGAAGUUAGGUCUUACAAUUUACCUUUGUGUCCCCAGGCAGGAAGCUGUCAGACACAUGGAAGGUGCCCCAUAGUAUUUGUUAAAUAAGAACAACACAUAUUUAUUCCUUUUUAAAAAGUAUAGGACAUAUAAUAAACUAAGAUGCAUAUUGAGAGUGUGCUUUAAUUCAAUUUGGGAUGUACUUUUCUACAAAGCUCUUGCUUCCAUCACUGGAAGCAUCACUAUUUUAUUUCUCGGUUAUUUUGUAAAAGCACUUUGAUUAACCUUUCUUCCCUUUUUCUCUAGGGUACUCUCACAGGAAACGGAAGUUACAGAAUGCAAGCCUCAUCACUCUGGCCAACCUUCCUCCCUUGGGAUCAGCAAAUGCAGGAGCAGAGGGGAUUCGCUCAGAGGAGAACAUCUACACCAUCGAGGAGAACGUCUACCCCAUCGAGGAGAACGUCUACACCAUCGAGGAGAAUGUCUACGAGAUGGAGAAUCCAAGUACUGGGGAUCAAACUCGGGUCCUUGCGCUUGAGGGGCAGGCGGUGGAACCCGUGAGCUACAUCCCUGGCCCUCCACCUAUCUUUUUGUGGAAAAGUUGUGUUUUUCACUGAAGAACCCCAGUGGCCAAAACCAUAUUUUUUCCUGGUGGAAGAGGGCAGAGGCCUCCAGGAAUCCGUACUGUCAUCGGGGUCGGUUCCCUUGGUGGGAGACAGUGGUCCCGAAGUGUGAAUCCCAAGAUGACAGAACUAGGUUUGUCUGCUUAUUGCUGACUCCCAGUGCCUGGCCUGGUUCUCAUGCAGAACAGACCCUGACGCUUUGUCUUCAGGAGUUAGACUUCAAUGAGCAAUCAGGUUAGCUUUCUGGCAAGACUUCUCCAGUGAAGAGCUCAGAAGAGCCUGACUCUGUGACUUCACUUCGUGAACCCUCACGGGCGCCCCCAUCUGCUCCGAGUCAGCCGUGGUGGCCGUUGUUUCUCCGUAUGUCUCCCCCUUCAGGCCCCUGAAGGCUGCUGCUCCUGUGCCUGCUCCCUUCCUCCCGGGGAGUCCUCCUGGCUCAUAAAGAAUAAACCAGCUCUGUGGCCCUGUGGCUGCCUGAGCACUGCUCCUCCCAGGGUGAGGGCUCCCUGGCUGCUGUGCUGUUUGCAGGAGAGGUGGGUCCUGCAGAAUGAGAUGGCCUGCUUGGUCCGGUCAUCCUGGCCGUCCGUGUAUGAAUUUCGGUGUGUGGGCUGCAUCUAGGUGUCGUGGAGGACACUGGCUUUCUCAGGGAAGAUAUGUAAGGGAGAUCAUUUCAUAAAGUCCAUUAAGGCAGCAGCUCUCACACAGGCUGAAAAAUGAAUCACACAUGUUUCAAUGUCAUGAAAUUCUACUGCGAAAGAACUUCAAAACAUUAGGAGCAGAUCAAUGGUUUGCCCCCAUGUGAUCCUUGUCUUACAACAAUCUUUAAACAAGGGUGUGUAUACUAAGAUGAUAACUGCAGUAGACCUUGUAAGAGACUGUUUUACAUUAAUAGGGGAAUAAUGGUGCAGUUAAAAAGAGCUUGGUGAUGCCUGGCAUGGUGGUACACACCUGUAAUCCUGGCACUCAGGAGGCUGAGGCAAGAGGAUUGCCAUGAGGUCAUUGUCAGCCUGGACUACACAGUAAGUUCAAGGCCAGUCUCAACCAUUGUACAUAGCAAGAUGACUGUUUUGUGAGUGGGUCACCUUUGAUAAAUCUUUUAUUAUAGGUUUGAGUUUUAUUCUGACAAUUGCUAUAUGAUAACUUGAUACAUUUUCUUCUGUUACUUCUACAUUUUGCAUUUGUACUUUUUUGUUCAUUUUAUAUCUAAUUCAUGUAACAUAGAAAUUUUUUACACUCCAAUACAUGUUCUGUUUUGUCUUGCUUUGCAGGCACUGGGGGUUGAACAUAGGACCUGCACUGAGCUAUAUCCCCAGCCUUUCUUUUAUUUUUUAUUUUGAGACAGUGCCUCACUAAGUCACUAAGUUUCCGAGGCUUGGCUGGAUUUACGCAGAUGUAAACCUUCCCAGCUCCACACUCCGGGCCGAUCAAUGGUGCUGUGGCUGCAUCCUUCUGCAUCUGCACAGUGCAUUACAAAGACAGCAGGGCUACUUUUAGAAAGCAGAUGACAUUAGCUUUAAGAAUAUAUUUAAUAGGGCUGGGCAUUUAGCUCAGUGGUUUUGCCACCUGCUACACAAGUGCAAGGACCCGAGUUUGAUCCCUGGUAUCAAAAAAUAAAUAAAUAAAUAAAAAGAAUAUAUUUAAUGUAGCUAGGUAUGGUGCUGCACACCUGCGAUCCCAGCACUCAGGAGGCUGAGGCAGGAAGGCUGAGAGUUCAAGGCCAGCUGGGCUACUCAGUGUGUUCAAGGAAAUCAGAGGAGUACAUGGCAGGACACUCUCAAAACAAUGAUGACAACAACAAAACAACAACAGCACGUAUUUAUUUCAUUUGAAUCAAUACAUCUCUGUUGGCUUUCUGUUGCUUCAACAAAAUACAUGAAAUAAACAACAUAGAGGGAGGAAAGAUUUAGCGAUAGCUUCAAAGCUUUUAGUCCCUGUCAGUGGGAUUUAUUGCUUUUGGGCCUGUGGCAAAGAUGACCACCAUGGCAGGGAGCACAUGGCAGAAGAAACUGCCGGUGGGGGACAGAAGGGGGAGAGAGAAAGACACACACACAUACACACAGGUCUGCACGCAUGUGCACACACACGCACACACACACUGGGGCUCAACAUUCCUUCCAGGGCAGCCCAAGUCCCCUCCUUCCUCCAGCAAGGCCCCACAUCCCGACAGCAACGCCCCACAUCCCGACAGCAACCUCAGCUGGGAAGUAAGCUUCCCACACACAAGCCUUUGGGGACACUUAAGCUUCAGACCAUAGCAUCUAAAGUAUCGUCAUCUCAACACAGAAUGGACAUUAAAAUCAUUAAGAAGACAGUUUACGCCCUUGGUUUCAUUGUGAGCCUUAAGAAUCCAGUGGACAUUUUCCAUUGAGAUUGCAGCGCCUCUCAAUGCUGACGAGCCAGCCUGCUACAGUGCUCAGUGGCCACACACGUGAGUGGCUGAGGUGUCACAGAGCACAGUUCCCAGCAGGUCCCUCUCUCUCCUCUGUCUCUCCCUUCCUUCUCUCCCCCGUUCCACACAUGUGCAUACAUACUACAGCUUCCGUUUUUGGAUAACACGUUUUAUUUAGAUGGCCAUGUAGCCUUAAGUAGAAGACAUGUGUAUAUUCUAUUAGAGCGUUUCUCUAUGGAUAGAUACAAGGCAGCAAGAAAUACCGUUUAUACAGUAACCUGCAGCCAUUUAUAUGCCUGAAAGGUGUAGAGUUCUGAUGUG